UCACAUAUGUAAAAUCUAGUUCUAACAUAUCAUAUAUAUAAGAACUACAUUAGACCUAGCUAACACAUGCUAAAAAAUAAAUCUAAACAACUUUAGAUCUACUAACAACAUUAGAUCUCAUCUGAUCAAAUCUGAUUUUGAUCUAUUUUUCAGACCUCAACCUGACUCUGAUAUUAGUUAAAGAAUCAGGGUACGCAUCGGAUC
rnacentral:lncRNA from 1 species